rnacentral:misc_RNA from 1 species
CCGAGCGAGGGUCGUAAGGCCCAAACCUCCCACCCAUGUGUACCUAUCUCUGUUGCUUCGGUGGGCCGGUGGGCUCGUCCUGUCAUCGGCCCCGGCCGUUUGGUGCCCACCAGAGGCCCUGUCAACUCUCCUCGUUGUCGUCCAAGUCAAACAUACAAUCAUUA